AUACACUGAGUCAAAGCAGAGUACUGAAGAAAGUACAAGCUCAAGGAGGUGAUAAAUCCAGUAAUUGCCUGAUAAAAGAGAUGCAGACUGAUAGUAAAUUACACCCCACCGCAGUAACUAAAAAGAUCGCCUACGGGUUGGGAUGAUGGCCUCCGCCUAAUUAAUCAUCCAGGUCUUCCACACAAACCAUUCAACUCCGGAUGCCCGCAGGUCUUAAAAGUGCCUUUCAGAUCAUGUUUUAAAACCUUCCACGUCUGGCGUUGGGAACGCAGCCGCGGCUUGGUGCUGGAUAGCAAGAGGCAAAGGAAGGAAAGCACAGCACUUCCUCAGACCAGAGGCAAAGGCAGGUGCAUACAACGGCCACCCGCAGAGCAGCGGUGUCAGUGGACGGAGGUGUGUCCGUGGCCCUCAUGGGAUGCCCAGUGCUGUGUGGGUAUCCCCAUUGCUCACGCCAUCCCCAGCUUCCUAUUUCUCUUGCAACUGGGACAUCAGCAUGUUUCAGGCAAACCUAUACACUGUGAUUCCAGAGCAGCCUCAAACGACACUUCGUCAAAAUAGAAACGUUCUCCGUG